rnacentral:rRNA from 1 species
AUGUGCGCUGGAAAGCUCCAUCUUGUUGUUGGACUUGGUGAAGCUAAUGGGCCCGAGGUCGGUAAGAAGAGUUGGAUGCCUCCAUCUUAUGCUGGUGGUCCGCGCUGUAUGACUGAAAACUUCUAUGAUGGGGUGGCUGUUUUGCGUAUGCAUGCCUCGCCUGAUAUAAUCACAACCUUCACAUGUAGUCCAAAGUGGCCUGAAAUAACGGAGAGUACUGAACCUGGGCAAAAAACAGUCGAUAGGUCUGACAUUACCGUUCGAGUGUAUCGCUUGAAACUUCUUGAGUACCUACAGAAAAUGAGGACAGGGAGGAUGUUUGGGCCUAUAGUUGCUGUUAUCCACACAGGGGAGUUUCAUAAGAGGGAGCUGCCGCAUGCGUGUGUCCUUGUUUGGCAAGAGAAGCAUCAUGACCGGGGUUCUCAACUGACUGAUAUUGAUGCUGAUGCUCCUGCUACUAUGCCUCCUAACACGAUGGAAACUACAGUUCCUAUGCCACUUAAGCUUAACAGGUAUGCCCUUUCUAUACAAUUAAGCAUAAUACACUGCUAA